UUUUCUUUGUAUUAAGCUUGUUUCAUUCAUUCUAAUAAUUCUUCAAUUUCAGUUGCCACCAAAGAUAUAAAUUGUCAACCAGCCUCUACUAAAGAAUUUGGGCAUAAAGUCACCAAAGACUCGGACUUACAGGUUGCCAGUAAAGAUAUACAUUGUCAACCAGGUUGUACUCAAGACUUUGGGCAUCAAGUCACCAAAGACACUGACUUACAGGUUGCCACCAAAGAUAUAAAUUGUCAACCAGCCUCUACUAAAGAAUUUGGGCAUCAAGUCACCAAAGACUCGGACUUACAGGGUAAGGCAUAUAAAAAUAUGUGUCUGAAUGUUUUGUUUGCUGCAGGAAGUGAAAAUUCUAACACUGAUUUUGCAUAAUUAGGUAAUAAAUGUGUGUUUCUAUUGGAAACACUAACUUUGCAUAGUGAGGUACAUGUGAACUUAUUUAGGAAACA